GACCUUCUAAAAACGUUAAAAUGUAUUGCUGGCAUGCAAAACCUUAAAUUACAGUGAAUAAAUGAAGACUUGGCACACCACUUCUCAAAGAUUGCUGGCCCCCGUUCUAGUCAUAUACAUGAAGAUGGUUCAGAAAGAAAGAAGCAGCUGCAUGGGCAAGUUCAGCUGAGCACUUCUAUAAAAAGCAAAUUGACUACAAAUAUGCAAGAUGUUUCCUACAAAUCCAGGAAUGCAAUAUACUUUAAACAGAAGAUCUGUUGAAGAAGAGCUCAUCAGGUUCAACCAACACAAACCACAAAUGAAGGAGGCAUGAAAUAGACACAUUGGUGGCUAUGUGGUCAUGUUCAUUAAAUCAUGAGAUUUCCAGAAUAAAGUUGU